AUGGACUCUGGGGCGACAGAGCACCUGACCAGUGAGAUGGGGAAGCUUCACACUCGUGAACCCUACCAUGGCUCCGACAAGAUCCACACCGCCAAUGGAGCAGGUAUGCACAUCUCUCAUAUUGGUCAAGCAUCACUUCUCACUAGACAUGCCAAUAGGAGUCUUCAACUUCGCAAUGUUCUUCGAGUUCCAUCUGUGACACGUAAUCUUCUUUCAGUUCCUAAACUCACUCGUGAUAAUAAUGUGCUUUGUGAAUUUCAUCCUUUUGAUCUUUUUAUUAAGGAUCGGGGCACGAGGGACAUUCUUCUUAGUGGGCGGCUCUGCCAAGGUCUCUAUCGUCUGGAGCAUCCUGGCGUCGCUCGCGUCUUCAGUGGAGUUCGGGUAUCUCCGUCACAGUGGCAUGCUCGUCUUGGUCACCCGGCCACACCUAUUGUCCGGCAUGUUUUGCGUCGUCAUGAGCUUCCUAGUGUGUCUAGUAAUAAAGAUGUAGCAGUGUGUGAUGCUUGUCAGCAGGGGAAGAGUCAUCAACUUCCUUUUUCGGAGUCCAGUCGUGCGGUGAAACAUCCUUUAGAACUUGUGUUUUCAGAUGUAUGGGGUCCUGCUCAGACUUCUGUUAGUGGUCAUAAUUACUAUAUCAGUUUUGUUGAUGCUUACAGCCGCUUUACCUGGCUUUAUCUUAUCAAACGUAAAUCUGAUGUGUUUGACAUUUUUGUUCAGUUCCAAAAACAUGUUGAACGCCUUCUCAAGCACAAAAUUGUUCAUGUUCAGUCGGACUGGGGUGGCGAGUAUCGCAACCUCAACUCCUUCUUUCAGUCGCUUGGGAUCACUCACCGUUUAGCAUGUCCACAUACACAUCAGCAGAAUGGUUCAGUAGAACGUAAGCAUCGUCACAUUGUUGAAGCUGGUCUGACUCUUUUGGCCCAUGCAUCUGUUCCGUUUCGUUUUUGGAGUGAUGCUUUCACCACUGCAUGUUUUCUCAUCAAUCGUACUCCCACUCGUGUUUUGAAUAUGAAGACUCCCAUUGAAGUUCUCCUUAAUGAACAACCAGACUACACCUUUCUCAAGGUGUUUGGGUGUGCUUGCUGGCCCCAUCUCCGUCCAUAUAACAAGCGUAAGCUCGAGUUUCGUUCCAAGAAGUGUGUUUUUCUUGGUUAUAGCUCUCUUCAUAAAGGAUACAAAUGUCUUCAUGUGCCCACUAAUCGUGUCUACAUCUCUCGGGAUGUUGUGUUUGAUGAGCAUGUUUUUCCCUUUGCCAAACUCCCUGUGUCCACUACCGAGCCACCUGUCAUGCAUUCAUCCUCUGUUGCUUCUGACCAAUUUGAUGAUGUUGCAUAUUCUCCUCUAUUGUUGCCUAACCAUGGUGCAGGCACUGGUCGUGGGGCUCGUUUGGAGAUUCUGGAAGUGCCAUCUUCCUCUUCGUCGCCAUCGCCUUCAUCCUCGGCACCUUCUGUUGUGCAUGAGGAGCACAUGGCGCCCCUGCAUGGCCUCGGUUUCCGUGCUCAUGCACGGCCGAUCGACGUCCUGGCCCGGUCGCCUCUGGCUUCUGGGCUGCCUUUGCCAUCGUCGCGCCCUGCAACCCCGCCGACUGGGCCGGCCUCCUCGGUCCCCGUCUCGCCCAGGGCGUCGGGGCAGUCAUCACUAGGCCUGGCCUCGCCCGCCCCUGCCUCGCCCAGGGUGUCUGGGCCCUUCUCACCAGGGCCGGCCUCGCCUGCUCUCGCCUCGCCAAGGCCGUCUGGGCCGGUGUCACCGGAGCUAGCCUCGCCCACUCUCGGUUCGCUCAUGGCCUCUGAGCCCCUGUCGUCGGGCCAGUCUUCGCCAUGCAGCCCGGAGUCGUCUGUCCCGAGCUCUCCUGAGGUGAUUCCUGCAUCUCCGGCGACCGUCACGUCUCCGUCACCUUCGCCUCCGCCGGCUCCUGCUGCUGCUCUACGUCCACAUACGCGCAGUCGGAGUGGCAUUUUUCAGCCUAAGCAACGUCACGAUGGCACAGUUGCUUGGUUAGCGGCGUGCAUGUCUGCUGCUCUCGCAGAUCCAUCCUCUGAGCCACGCACGUAUCAAGCUGCUAUGCGCAUUCCUCAUUGGAGAGAGGCCAUGGAGCAGGAGUAUCAAAGCGCUUCUUCGCAAUCAGACAUGGACUCUUGUUCCUCCACAAUCACGGGUAAAUGUCAUUGA
rnacentral:rRNA from 1 species